rnacentral:rRNA from 1 species
CUUGCUACCUGACCUAGCGGCGGACGGGUGAGUAAUGCUUAGGAAUCUGCCUAUUAGUGGGGGACAACAUUCCGAAAGGAAUGCUAAUACCGCAUACGCCCUACGGGGGAAAGCAGGGGAUCUUCGGACCUUGCGCUAAUAGAUGAGCCUAAGUCAGAUUAGCUAGUUGGUGGGGUAAAGGCCUACCAAGGCGACGAUCUGUAGCGGGUCUGAGAGGAUGAUCCGCCACACUGGGACUGAGACACGGCCCAGACUCCUACGGGAGGCAGCAGUGGGGAAUAUUGGACAAUGGGCGAAAGCCUGAUCCAGCCAUGCCGCGUGUGUGAAGAAGGCCUUUUGGUUGUAAAGCACUUUAAGCGAGGAGGAGGCUACUUGGAUUAAUACUCUAGGAUAGUGGACGUUACUCGCAGAAUAAGCACCGGCUAACUCUGUGCCAGCAGCCGCGGUAAUACAGAGGGUGCGAGCGUUAAUCGGAUUUACUGGGCGUAAAGCGUGCGUAGGCGGCUUUUUAAGUCGGAUGUGAAAUCCCUGAGCUUAACUUAGGAAUUGCAUUCGAUACUGGGAAGCUAGAGUAUGGGAGAGGAUGGUAGAAUUCCAGGUGUAGCGGUGAAAUGCGUAGAGAUCUGGAGGAAUACCGAUGGCGAAGGCAGCCAUCUGGCCUAAUACUGACGCUGAGGUACGAAAGCAUGGGGAGCAAACAGGAUUAGAUACCCUGGUAGUCCAUGCCGUAAACGAUGUCUACUAGCCGUUGGGGCCUUUGAGGCUUUAGUGGCGCAGCUAACGCGAUAAGUAGACCGCCUGGGGAGUACGGUCGCAAGACUAAAACUCAAAUGAAUUGACGGGGGCCCGCACAAGCGGUGGAGCAUGUGGUUUAAUUCGAUGCAACGCGAAGAACCUUACCUGGUCUUGACAUAGUAAGAACUUUCCAGAGAUGGAUUGGUGCCUUCGGGAACUUACAUACAGGUGCUGCAUGGCUGUCGUCAGCUCGUGUCGUGAGAUGUUGGGUUAAGUCCCGCAACGAGCGCAACCCUUUUCCUUAUUUGCCAGCGGGUUAAGCCGGGAACUUUAAGGAUACUGCCAGUGACAAACUGGAGGAAGGCGGGGACGACGUCAAGUCAUCAUGGCCCUUACGACCAGGGCUACACACGUGCUACAAUGGUCGGUACAAAGGGUUGCUACCUAGCGAUAGGAUGCUAAUCUCAAAAAGCCGAUCGUAGUCCGGAUUGGAGUCUGCAACUCGACUCCAUGA